GGGAGAGUCGAGCAGGGUGGCUGUGAUUUCCAGUAUGCCCCAGCCAGUCAUUACUAGCAGGAAAUGGAUUUUUGCCAGAGAAAGAACAAAACUGGAAGAGCCACAGAAAAACUAAACAAAAAGAAUGAGAGAGAAGAACUGCUCUAUGAGGUUUAUUCAUUUAUCAGAUAUUCGUUUCAAUUCACUUUAAACACCAGGCUCGAAGA